rnacentral:tRNA from 6 species
GCGGGAUUAGUUCACCGGUAGAACGACUGCUUUCCAAGCAGUAUGUAAGGGGUUCAAUUCCCCUAUCCCGCU